UCAUGGAGUAUAAUAAUUAAAUUUAAUAAAUUUAAUAUAACUAUUAAUAGAAUUAGGUUACUAAUAAAUUAAUAACAAUUAAUUUUAAAACCUAAAGGUAAACCUUUAUAUUAAUAAUGUUUUUUUUUUAUUAUUUUUUUUAUAAUAAGAAUAAUUAUUAAUAAUAAUAAACUAAGUGAACUGAAACAUCUAAGUAACUUAAGGAUAAGAAAUCAACAGAGAUAUUAUGAGUAUUGGUGAGAGAAAAUAAUAAAGGUCUAAUAAGUAUUAUGUGAAAAAAAAUGUAAGAAAAUAGGAUAACAAAUUCUAAGACUAAAUACUAUUAAUAAGUAUAGUAAGUACCGUAAGGGAAAGUAUGAAAAUGAUUAUUUUAUAAGCAAUCAUGAAUAUAUUAUAUUAUAUUAAUGAUGUACCUUUUGUAUAAUGGGUCAGCAAGUAAUUAAUAUUAGUAAAACAAUAAGUUAUAAAUAAAUAGAAUAAUAUAUAUAUAUAUAAAAAUAUAUUAAAAUAUUUAAUUAAUAUUAAUUGACCCGAAAGCAAACGAUCUAACUAUGAUAAGAUGGAUAAACGAUCGAACAGGUUGAUGUUGCAAUAUCAUCUGAUUAAUUGUGGUUAGUAGUGAAAGACAAAUCUGGUUUGCAGAUAGCUGGUUUUCUAUGAAAUAUAUGUAAGUAUAGCCUUUAUAAAUAAUAAUUAUUAUAUAAUAUUAUAUAAAUAUUAUAUAAAGAAUGGUACAGCAAUUAAUAUAUAUUAGGGAACUAUUAAAGUUUUAUUAAUAAUAUUAAAUCUCGAAAUAUUUAAUUAUAUAUAAUAAAGAGUCAGAUUAUGUGCGAUAAGGUAAAUAAUCUAAAGGGAAACAGCCCAGAUUAAGAUAUAAAGUUCCUAAUAAAUAAUAAGUGAAAUAAAUAUUAAAAUAUUAUAAUAUAAUCAGUUAAUGGGUUUGACAAUAACCACUUUUUAAUGAACAUGUAACAAUGCACUGAUUUAUAAUAAAUAAAAAAUAAUAUUUAAAAUCAAAUAUAUAUAUAUAUAUAUAUUUGUUAAUAGAUAAUAUACGGAUCUUAAUAAUAAGAAUUAUUUAAUUCCUAAUAUGGAAUAUUAUAUUUUUAUAAUAAAAAUAUAAAUACUGAAUAUCUAAAUAUUAUUAUUACUUUUUUAAUAAUAAUAAUAUGGUAAUAGAACAUUUAAUGAUAAUAUAUAUUAGUUAUUAAUUAAUAUAUGUAUUAAUUAAAUAGAGAAUGCUGACAUGAGUAACGAAAAAAAGGUAUAAACCUUUUCACCUAAAACAUAAGGUUUAACUAUAAAAGUACGGCCCCUAAUUAAAUUAAUAAGAAUAUAAAUAUAUUUAAGAUGGGAUAAUCUAUAUUAAUAAAAAUUUAUCUUAAAAUAUAUAUAUUAUUAAUAAUUAUAUUAAUAAUAUAUAUAAUUAUAUUAUAUAUUUUUUUUAUAUAAUAUAAACUAAUAAAGAUCAGGAAAUAAUUAAUGUAUACCGUAAUGUAGACCGACUCAGGUAUGUAAGUAGAGAAUAUGAAGGUGAAUUAGAUAAUUAAAGGGAAGGAACUCGGCAAAGAUAGCUCAUAAGUUAGUCAAUAAAGAGUAAUAAGAACAAAGUUGUACAACUGUUUACUAAAAACACCGCACUUUGCAGAAACGAUAAGUUUAAGUAUAAGGUGUGAACUCUGCUCCAUGCUUAAUAUAUAAAUAAAAUUAUUUAACGAUAAUUUAAUUAAAUUUAGGUAAAUAGCAGCCUUAUUAUGAGGGUUAUAAUGUAGCGAAAUUCCUUGGCCUAUAAUUGAGGUCCCGCAUGAAUGACGUAAUGAUACAACAACUGUCUCCCCUUUAAGCUAAGUGAAAUUGAAAUCGUAGUGAAGAUGCUAUGUACCUUCAGCAAGACGGAAAGACCCUAUGCAGCUUUACUGUAAUUAGAUAGAUCGAAUUAUUGUUUAUUAUAUUCAGCAUAUUAAGUAAUCCUAUUAUUAGGUAAUCGUUUAGAUAUUAAUGAGAUACUUAUUAUAAUAUAAUGAUAAUUCUAAUCUUAUAAAUAAUUAUUAUUAUUAUUAUUAAUAAUAAUAAUAUGCUUUCAAGCAUAGUGAUAAAACAUAUUUAUAUGAUAAUCACUUUACUUAAUAGAUAUAAUUCUUAAGUAAUAUAUAAUAUAUAUUUUAUAUAUAUUAUAUAUAAUAUAAGAGACAAUCUCUAAUUGGUAGUUUUGAUGGGGCGUCAUUAUCAGCAAAAGUAUCUGAAUAAGUCCAUAAAUAAAUAUAUAAAAUUAUUGAAUAAAAAAAAUAAUAUAUAUUAUAUAUAUUAAUUAUAAAUUGAAAUAUGUUUAUAUAAAUUUAUAUUUAUUGAAUAUAUUUUAGUAAUAGAUAAAAAUAUGUACAGUAAAAUUGUAAGGAAAACAAUAAUAACUUUCUCCUCUCUCGGUGGGGGUUCACACCUAUUUUUAAUAGGUGUUCACCCCUCUUCGGGGUUCCGGUUCCCUUUCGGGUCCCGGAACUAAAAAAUAAUUAUGGAAAGAAUUAAAUUAAUAUAAUGGUAUAACUGUGCGAUAAUUGUAACACAAACGAGUGAAACAAGUACGUAAGUAUGGCAUAAUGAACAAAUAACACUGAUUGUAAAGGUUAUUGAUAACGAAUAAAAGUUACGCUAGGGAUAACAGGGUAAUAUAACGAAAGAGUAGAUAUUGUAAGUUAUGUUUGCCACCUCGAUGUCGACUCAACAUUUCCUCUUGGUUGUAAAAGCUAAGAAGGGUUUGACUGUUCGUCAAUUAAAAUGUUACGUGAGUUGGGUUAAAUACGAUGUGAAUCAGUAUGGUUCCUAUCUGCUGAAGGAAAUAUUAUCAAAUUAAAUCUCAUUAUUAGUACGCAAGGACCAUAAUGAAUCAACCCAUGGUGUAUCUAUUGAUAAUAAUAUAAUAUAUUUAAUAAAAAUAAUACUUUAUUAAUAUAUUAUCUAUAUUAGUUUAUAUUUUAAUUAUAUAUUAUCAUAGUAGAUAAGCUAAGUUGAUAAUAAAUAAAUAUUGAAUACAUAUUAAAUAUGAAGUUGUUUUAAUAAGAUAAUUAAUCUGAUAAUUUUAUACUAAAAUUAAUAAUUAUAGGUUUUAUAUAUUAUUUAUAAAUAAAUAUAUUAUAAUAAUAAUAAUUAUUAUUAUUAAUAAAAAAUAU
rnacentral:rRNA from 1 species